rnacentral:ribozyme from 1 species
ACUCGGCUGGGCGAGUAUAAACAGUCAUUAGGCCCAGAGCGUCCCCUUGGGUGAGAUCUCACCCUUGGGGGGUUGAA